rnacentral:rRNA from 1 species
UACGAAGGGUGCAAACGUUGCUCGGAAUUACUGGGCGUAAAGCGUGCGUAGACGGUUAUGUAAGUUAGGUGUGAAAGCCCCGGGCUCAACCUGGGAAUUGCAUUUAAGACUGCAUAGCUAGGGUGCGGAAGAGGGAAGCGGAAUUUCCGGUGUAGCGGUGAAAUGCGUAGAUAUCGGAAGGAACAUCAGUGGCGAAAGCGGCUUCCUGGUCCAGCACCGACGUUCAGGCACGAAAGCGUGGGGAGCGAACCGG